rnacentral:misc_RNA from 2 species
ACAAAUCUACUGUGCCGCCGCAAGGCGUGCAUAUUGGCCCCGAGUCCAGGCUUUGGUUUGGACUCUGGUUUCGGACAUGAUGGAUGGUCCAGGCUGGUUAGCGCCUGUCUGGCUGUCCGUCGUCCACAUAGACGCUUGUAUGUUUGACAGAGUUACGGUUGUAAGCACAAAAAGA